AAGUCUUAAGUGAGGAUUAGAGGGAACUAAACAUGCAGCAUUGUUGUUUGAUUACACUUUAUGUUUAGUUUCCUCUAAUAUCUUACCUGUGGCUU
rfam:Daucus carota subsp. sativus cultivar DH1 chromosome 9, whole genome shotgun sequence.